UACGUAGGUGACCAGCGUUGUCCGGAUUUACUGGGCGUAAAGAGCGCGCAGGCGGUCGUUCAAGUCGAGUGUGAAAGCCCCCGGCACAACUGGGGAGGGUCACUCGAUACUGAUCGACUUGAAGGCAGGAGAGGGAAGCGGAAUUCCCGGUGUAGUGGUGAAAUGCGUAGAUAUCGGGAGGAACACCAGUGGCGAAGGCGGCUUCCUGGCCUGUUCUUGACGCUGAGGCGCGAAAGCUAGGGGAGCAAACGGG
rnacentral:rRNA from 1 species